rnacentral:rRNA from 1 species
GGGGAAUAUUGGACAAUGGGGGAAACCCUGAUCCAGCAAUGCCGCGUGGGUGAAGACGGCCUGCGGGUUGUAAAGCCCUUUAGGCGGGGAGGAACGGCGUCGCGCGAACAGUGCGGCGCUCUGACGUUACCCGCGGAAUAAGCACCGGCUAACUCCGUGCCAGCAGCCGCGGUAAUACGGAGGGUGCGAGCGUUAAUCGGAAUUACUGGGCGUAAAGCGUGCGUAGGCGGAUGGGUCAGUCAGCCGUGAAAGCCCCGGGCUCAACCUGGGAACGGCGGUUGAGACGGCCCGUCUCGAGUGGGCUAGAGGAUCGUGGAAUUCCGGGUAUAGCGGUGAAAUGCGUAGAGAUCCGGAGGAACACCGAUGGCGAAGGCAGCGGUCUGGGGCCACACUGACGCUGAGGCACGAAAGCGUGGGGAGCAAAC